CCUACGGGAGGCAGCAGUGAGGAAUAUUGGUCAAUGGACGAGAGUCUGAACCAGCCAAGUAGCGUGAAGGAUGACUGCCCUAUGGGUUGUAAACUUCUUUUAUAUGGGAAUAAAAUGUUCCACGUGUGGGAUUUUGUAUGUACCAUAUGAAUAAGGAUCGGCUAACUCCGUGCCAGCAGCCGCGGUAAUACGGAGGAUCCGAGCGUUAUCCGGAUUUAUUGGGUUUAAAGGGAGCGUAGGUGGAUUGUUAAGUCAGUUGUGAAAGUUUGCGGCUCAACCGUAAAAUUGCAGUUGAAACUGGAAGUCUUGAGUACAGUAGAGGUAAGCGGAAUUCGUGGUGUAGCGGUGAAAUGCUUAGAUAUCACGAAGAACUCCGAUUGCGAAGGCAGCUCACUGGACUGCAACUGACACUGAGGCUCGAAAGUGUGGGUAUCAAACAGGAUUAGAUACCCCUGUAGUC
rnacentral:rRNA from 1 species